UACGUAGGGUCCGAGCGUUAUCCGGAAUUAUUGGGCGUAAAGAGCUCGUAGGCGGUUUGUCGCGUCUGCCGUGAAAGUCCGGGGCUCAACUCCGGAUCUGCGGUGGUACGGGCAGACUAGAGUGAUGUAGGGGAGACUGGAAUUCCUGGUGUAGCGGUGAAAUGCGCAGAUAUCAGGAGGAACACCGAGUGGCGAAGGCAGGUCUCUGGGCAUUAACUGACGCUGAGGAGCGAAAGCAUGGGGAGCGAACAGG
rnacentral:rRNA from 1 species